AGGACAACUUGUACAUUCCAGUGCUUAAAUUGAGAACAAAACAUUGGCAAUACGGAAAGUGUGGUUUCCUUCAUAAAUCUAAGAGUUUCAACUUCAUUCUCAAGAAGACGGUCAGCUUCAAACUAUCAUGGUGGAAACCUGGUAUUCAUUAAGGUUUUGCAUUUAUAAAGAGAGAAAUUUCAACUGAAUUGACCGAUCAGCAAGAAGAAAGAAGUGGUUCAAACUAAUCACUUAAGAAAGAGAACAAAAUUUGAUAAACAAAAUAUACAAAAAAUUGAAACCCAACCUCAUUUCCCUUUUUUGGGUUUCGGGUUUGGUUUUGGAAUGGAGGGACUUUAGUAAAUUUAUAUAAAAGGUGACCAACCCUUGCCCUAAAUCAAAAGCCUCAUCAUCCAGCUCAAAAUCACCAAAGCAUCCAACCAUACCAUCCAAAAGAAUCCUACUUCUUAUCAUUUGAAAAAAUUAACCAAAACUCGAAACCUAAAUUACCAAAUAUCCGAAGUCAAAUCAAUUCAAAACUUCAGGUGUCCAAUAACCUACAUAAGUCUGAUAUCUUCCAGUAGACUUAAAACAAAUAGGACAAGAAUAACAAUUCUAUGUGGCGUCUACACAAGUGAUUAUAAACAAGCAAUUAACUCUAUCGGCAAUUUCAUCACAAAUCUUCUCAACAUUCUUCAUUUUCUUACUACGUGUAAGCAUCCAAACUCAUAUUACAUUCACAGAAACGAAGUAAAUGGCAGGAAUUAUUUGGUCGCAAACUGUAGAUCAUGUUAUGCGGAUAGUGGAAAAUUGGAACCUGGAAACAUAACUUGCUGGUACAAAAGCUUGUGCUAUGCAUUAUGCAUUUCCACGAUCAAAUGCAGUGAUGUUUUUGGGGACUCCAUUAUACAACUCAAUGAGUUCUGGAUACUCCUUGUAGCGGUUGACGAACUUCUCCACAAAUUUCUUCUCUGAAUAUUUCACGUAUGUAGACAUACUAAGGUUACUGAUGCAAACUCCCCUAGACUUCAGGCCUGUCACAAUCUGAUGCCUUGGCAUCAACCUUUUCUCCAAACUGCACAACAAAAUAUCUGGCCGAAGUGCAAUAUGAGAUGGAGCACAUCCGGCUUCAUUUACCAAGAACUCCAACUUCCUCUGCAAACUCUUUAAAGAAAUUUGCACAAACGUAGGAGCCUUUCUGAAUGCAGCAAGGAAAUCAUCCUCGGACCACCCGAAGCCCUCGAAGAACUCCAAGUGAGCCUUGAAGUUAUUCUCGGAGACGUUGUGGAGCACAGUCAGGGUCAAGGGGAACAUCCCUGAGGUGCAAGCUACUCCCAAACCCUCGGCACGACUGAUUAACGCCUUCAGGGUUUCAGCAUUCCGGGUUAUGAGGAGAGGAUAUUGCCUUAGGAUCAUUGAGAGCUUCUGAUCCGUCAUCCCGCAAUCCCUUAGAAUUUCAAUGUUAGGCUGGAUCGUCUUCUCGAUGCUAUACCCGAGAAACCUCCUGUUUUUCUUGCACAAGUUCAUCAGUAAGUCGUUGGACCCGAGGAGGCCUUGCCAUAAUUGGAUCUUGGACAAGAUGGUCUGGGAUUUGUCGCUGAUGACGUCGUUAUUCGAUCUGACGAGGUGGGUGAUGUCGGAGCAGGAGAAGCCCAGAUCCUGCAAAGCUCGGAACUUUGGGGCCAGGGUCUUCUCCACGUCGAGGAGAAGCCACCGGGGGUUUGCAGAUAUGACCUUUUUCACCUGGGUGUUGUCAAAACCGUAGCUUUUAAAAAAGCCAAGGACGGAGUCAGGCUGGUGGCGGGAUUCGACGCGACCAAGGAGCUUCGAGGCUUUGGCCGCCUGAUCAGGAUGGAAGCCACAGUAGCUGACCAGGUAUUCAGCCAUAAGGCUGCUCUCUGGAGCACCGGAGGCGGCGGAAUAAGAAUGGGUUGCGAGAAAAAGGGCAGCAUCGGCCGGACGACAGCAAGGGACGAAUGCAAGGGCUUUGGACAAGAGAGAGACGUAGGGCGACCUAUUCAUCAAUGUCAUCGUCUUCUUCUUCUUCUUCUUCUUCUUUGUAGGUUCCUUCUCUUUACCAAAACCUAGCGAAGGUGGCGUAGCUGCGUAUAGAGGAGCGCGUUUUGGCCGGAAGUACCUGCGUCUUAAACCCUAGAAGUGCGUUACCGUGUUCGACAUUUUUUUUUUCUGGCGGAGAUUACUGCGACCGCAGGAGUCUUUUUUUUCUUUGUCAACUUUUAGUUUGUUGAGGGGAGAAACAACUUUUAUUGCGUGCCAACUAAAGAUAAUAAAAGGUGUUCUUUUAGAAAAAAUUUGCACUAUUAUUUUUUUAUCUAGGGUUUAUUUUUUAUAGUUAGAACAAAAAUAUACCCUUAAUCUUCUAUUAAAAAUGACUUGAUCAGCUAUUAAAAAAUUGAUAUCAAAAAUUUUUAAAAAAAUAUAAAAAGCUAUGCUAAUCAUUUUAAAAUCAAUAGAUAUGCAUCGAAGAUGAUUAAUAUCUAUUUUUAUUUUAAAAAUUUUUAUAAUUAAUUAUCAAAUUAUAAUUUAUUUAAAUAAUAUCUAUGAUUAAGUCACAUAAGUUAAAAUAUAAGAGUGUUUUUUGUCUAAAUAAAAAUACCUAAAUAAAAAUGAAUAUGGAGGGUUUCAUCGAUAAGAAAACUAAUACUAUAAAUUAUUUUUUUAUAAAAGACCCGACAUACAUGAAUGAAUGCUAGAAAACAACUAAUCCAUCAUAAAAUUUGAUGAACUAAUACAUAUGUAUUCUAAUUAUCAAGUUAAAGUCAACAAUAAAAAAUUCAUGUAAUCUUUAAUGCCAUCAUAACCAUCAACUAUUUAUGAUGUGAAUGGCAAAACCGCUCAUUGUUCACUUAAGAAUCUACUCAUUAGAUUUUCACUAGAUAGAGAACAGACAACAACUCGUAAACAUGUCAACUAUCUUACUAGAAACAUACACUAUCUAUGAAACAAUGCCCAAGGCAACUUCUAUCUAGAAAUUAAUAAUAAUUAGAUGAUCAUGUUCACACUCAAAAUAGAAAGUCAUUCAUCCUAUAAUCAUUAACUUAUUAUAUCCAUACCAAGAUUAAGAAAGUAUCCCGAUGAUUAACAUUGAUUUAGAUUCGAUUAUAUUUGAUUUAACAUAUUGACAAAUAUUGUAAUUGGUAUAUAUAUCCUUCGACGGAAUCAAAUAAUUUGGGUAAUAUAUCUCACGGCUAAUUCUCACUCUUUAUUAUUUUUCAAUAUCGAAAAAUUAUUCUGUCAGUUUAAGGGAUAUAUACUUGAUCUAGCUAGCUCUUUAUACAAAGUAACUCAAAAUCUCUUUUCAAUUUAUCAUCUCAAAAUUAUUAGAAUACAUGACUCUUUAUAAUUGAAUAAGAUAUAUAAUAAAAUUAAUUAGAUUUUAAUGACGAAUAUUAGUCAAUAGAAAGAAAUAUCAAAAUAUGUGCCAAGUGAGAGAAUAUCUUAUAAAUUAAUGGGCUAAGUGAGAGAAUAUCAAAUAUGUGACCCUUUAUAAUUGAAUAAGAUAUAUAAUAAAACUAAUUAGAUUAUGAUAAUGGAUAUUAGCCAAUAGAAAGAAAGUUUAUAUUAUAGUAUGAUUCCUUAGGGGGUGCCCUUGAUGGGAGGAACUCUCUUAAUUAUUUAUCAUAGACUCUCUACUCUCGUCUAUAAAUAGAUGGGACCUCAUAGGGACUAAUGACAUGAUGUUUAUAUGAUGUAAUGGUCAUGAACACAUACACGAGAUACAAUAUGUGACAAUGAGAGAUUACGAUUCCUUUCUCAUCCUCUCUUGUCUCUGAACCAUUAAUAACUAUAAUCUUGUGAAAAGGUAGAAAGAGAUGAGGAGUGUUUAGUUCUCCUUGUAGAUCGACAUUUGAUAUAAACGAUUUUGCCCCACACAAACUCAUCUACCACUAAGGCCAACACCUAUGGAGAGUUUCAGGUCAUUAGCUUCGAAAUGGCACCAUAGUGUCGAUAACCAUCCUACUUUAUUAAGAUCAAAGAAUAAUCAGGUGAUUUUGCUAAUCUUAUCCAAGGCCAACCAAUAAAAGGCCUAGGGAUCAAGUAUAAAAAGGAACUCAUUAACUCACGCUGAGAGGGGGGACUCUCUAUACACUAACCUAGUCAUACAGCUUACACUACUAUCUUUCCCCUUUCACUGACUUAAGCAUCGGAAGGAAUGCGUUGGGCAACCCCUAAUGCUGGCCUAUCAUGCAAGAUUGCUGACGGUCAAGUGAUGAUCGGACCCAAUCCUUGUCAAUAGAACCUCGUAAUCUUUAAUGCCAUCAUAACCAUCAACUAUUUAUGAUGUGAAUGGCAAAACUGCUCAUUGUUCACUUAAGAAUCUACUCAAUAGAUUUUCACUAGAUAGAGAACAGACAACGACUCGUAAACAUGUCAACUAUCUUACUAGAAACAUACACUAUCUAUGAAACAAUGCCCAAGGCAACUUCUAUCUAGAAAUUAAUAAUAAUUAGAUGAUCAUGUUCACACUAAAAAUAGAAAGUCAUUCAUCCUAUUAUCAUUAACUUAUUAUAUCCAUACCAAGAUUAAGAAAGUAUCCUGAUGAUUAACUUUGAUUUAGAAUCGAUUAUAUUUGAUUUAACAUAUUGACAAACAUUGUAAUUGGUAUAUAUAUCCUUCGACGGAAUCAAAUAAUUUGGGUAAUAUAUCUCACGGCUAAUUCUCACUCUUUAUUAUUUUUCAAUAUCGAAAAAUUAUUCUGUCAGUUUAAGGGAUAUAUACUUGAUCUAGCUAGCUCUUUAUACAAAGUAACUCAAAAUCUCUUUUCAAUUUAUCAUCUCAAAAUUAUUAGAAUACAUGACUCUUUAUAAUUGAAUAAGAUAUAUAAUAAAAUUAAUUAGAUUUUGAUGAAAACUAUUAGUCAAUAGAAAGGAAUAUCAAAAUACGUGCUAAGUGGGAGAAUAUCUUAUAAAUUAAUGGGCCGCCUCCGGUGCUCCAGAGAGCAGCCUUAUGGUUAAUAAAAACACUAUACGUGCUAAGUGGGAAAUUCCUAUGAUGGCUAAUAAAAACACUAUAAUAAACUAAUUUUACUCUUAUUUGGAUGAUAUUAUUGUUAAAUUAUUUUAAAUAUAUGAUAUAUCAAAUGGUUUGUAGUAUGUUUGGAUUUCUCAGUUAUAGUAUUUUUUAAAUAACAUUAUAGUGUUUUUAUAAGGUGUAAAGCAAUUGAAAAAUCUUUGAUUAUCGUUGAUCGUAAAUGUGUAGUUAGUUUGACUGAAUCUAUUCGGGUUAUUUAUAAUAUUUUUAUUAUGAUAAUCAAAAUACUAUAAAAAUUAAUUUUUGAUUCUCAUUUUGAUGACCAAACUAUUGUGUAAAUCAUAUAAAUCAGAUCAUGCUACUGUACAAACCAAUCCAUCAACUUGGAUUCAAACACCGAUAUAUCGGUCUAUAAGGUAUCUAUGAAACUAGUGGGAAAAAUAUCAUUGAGGCUGGUAAGAAAUACUUUCAGUAUUAUUCAAAAUAGAAGGUAUCAUUUGAGAAAUAUGAGACAUCUUUUAGGAAAAUAAUAAUAAAAAAAGUGAGACAUCUUCGAAAUCACCCGAAAACUUUUGCUCACUUGUUUACUAGGGUCUUCUAGACUUUGCAGCAUCAAGAGAGUUCCUCUCCUCCGAACUCCUGUUUACCUAACAUCUCUACGAUGAUCAACAUGCGUUAGGGUGCAAGUCAACUAAAACUUCCCUUGAUCCCGAUAACUCAACAAGAGUAAGCAGUGCUUCAGUUUAAUUUGACCAAGUACGUGCCUGCCAGAGACACUGCAGUUAAUUCUACAAGGCCAAUAAUGUAUGAAUACAUAAGAAAAAGCUCAACGCAAAAGAUUGGAAGAUUAUUUUGAUGUAUUUGUACAGAGAAAACAAUACAACAAAGUCUUUAGAAAAGGAACACACCAAAAGAUUAAAAAUAGGACGAAUGGCUGAGACUAGCAUGCUAUACUAUAUAAGAAUCUGGAGAACCAAGGGUGGAAUCAAAUUCGAGAUUACAUGUUGCUAUUAGGCAAUAAAUUUAGAGAUGCUCUAUUGUCACAUUGAAGCACAAGUUUGUAACAUAAAAAACAACCUGCAUAAUUUGACAUAUUAACUAGACUUCCAGAUCAACUUUUUGUUUGAUAGCUAUUACAGCUUUGACAAAAAUAAGACACCGAACAAAGGAUGCAAAAGAAACAUAUAGUAGCAAAAGCCAAAAAAGUUGAAAUGUGGAUUUUCAUAGUACAUAAACCAGUAUAACUACAUAUCAUAAAUAUAACCAAAGAUUCUAACUGUUAGAAAUAUCUUGACUUCAGUCUGAGUGUGGGUAAAAAACAUUUCAAGAAGGCUGAAAUUGGUGUCAUCUGACAGCGGACAAAAUACAUUUUGGGAAGGGAGAAAUUGGCCUACAAGAAGUCAGCAAGUCUCAUUUCUCUUUCAUUACCUGAAGGCCGGCAAUGGUUGAAUUCUCCCUAGCAAAGUAACUCCUAGAAUUAUAUUUCCUUUUCCAAUUUGUUCAACAUAUACUUACUAAUGUAAUCAAACUAGCACACUGCAGAUGCCAACCUCUGGAAGGUAACACAUACUAAAAGAGCAAUUUCCAAGAACCUUGUUAAUCCACUUCUUUUGCACCAAACACUCCGCAAAUGGAGCUAACACCCCAAGUAUUUUUUAUUGAUAAGAACAAUUUAUGAUCGAUACAAGACAACCUCUGGACAGUAACACCUACUAAAAUAUCAAUUUCCAAGAUCACUGCUAAUCCACUUCUUUUGCACCAAACACCCUGUAAAUGGAGCUAACAAUCAAGCACUUUUGAUUGAUAAGAACAUUUUAUGCACCGAACACUCAAUAUGACCCAACCAAAAAAAUGAGAGGAUCGCACCCUCCGUAAACUUAUGAUCCAGACAUCUGUAACGCACAGAGCACAAUAAUAAUAUUCAUUGACAAUAAUGGAAAAUGCAUCCCAUCAAGUCUCAUCAUUAUUACUGGCGUACACAUCUAACUGUGCUUUUAUUAAAUAUCAGAUAACAAUCUUCACAUUGCUAGAACUGAAAAAUUCUCAAUCCUUAGCUACCCAGCUACGGAUCAUCUGAAAUAUGUACUUUUCAGAUCGAUAGGGAUUAUCUUAGUAGAAACAAGACGUCAAGAAAUCUAGUUGUGUCCCACGCAAUCAGCUAAAGAUAAGAAUAAUAAUGAAAAAAGAGCAUAAAUUAGGAUAAAAGAUCUCACAAAUUCAUCAUGAGAAAAGCACAUCCAUCAGUGCACUUUGCUGCAUCGGAACUCGUCCGAGGGAUGAAGCUACCUCCUUAUAGACUAAAUUCAUAUCACAUUACCUGCUAUUAGUCCAUUACUAGGAUCAAGUGGUGCCCGGCAACAGUCGAAAUACGCAUUUCUAUAGAUGCAAGGAAUAUCUUAUAAGCUUGUUUGACGACUACUAAUCCCUUUCAAAAUUGCCUACGAAUAAUGACAAUGUUGUUCAAUCAUCCAUAUAUGUAUAUAUCAACAUGCUGCACAACCAUGCAACAACAACCUUUCACAUACUCAAGCAUCCAACUUAUGCAUCAUGGCACUUCUAACAAAUAUUAAUAUGCGUCAAUUAUAGGCUAAAAUAGACGCAUCAAUAUAAAAUUUAUUGCCAAAAGAAAUAUGAACUAAUAACAGCAUAUUAAAAUUUCAUCACAUCAGCAUACAGAGAAUCUAGGUUUUAUGAGGCACCUAACACUAUAUUGCUCAUCCAAAUUGGAUACAGAGUUCAAAAAAGUUAUUAUCGAUUUACAAUUCAGUCCUUGAAAUUUACAAUCAUUUCUUCAUUACAUUGCAAACCAGUCCCUAGCAGUCUUAAUGGGCAGGCCCUUAGGCAGCCACGUGGAACUUGGUCUCAAAGGCAGGACCACAUGGAGUUGGCCUGUCUGAGCUGAAGUGCAUGAAGUUUAGACCACCCCCGUACUAAAAUGCUUAAAUUGGUAAAGGACAACUUGUACAUUCCAGUGCUUAAAUUGAGAACAAAACAUUGUCAAUACGGAAAGUGUGGUUUCCUUCAUAAAUCUAAGAGUUACAACUUCAUUCUCAAGAAGACAGUCAGCUUCAAACUAUCAUGGUGGCAACCUGGUAUUCAUUAAGGUUUUGCACUUAUAAAGAGAGAAAUUUCAACUGAAUUGACCGAUCAGCAAGAGGAAAGAAGUGGUUCAAACUAAUCACUUAAGAAAGAGAACAAAGUUUGAUAAACAAAAUAUACAAAAAAUUGAAACGCAACCUCAUCUACCUUUUUUGGGUUUUCGGUUUGGUUUAGGAUAUGAGGGACUUUAGUAAAUUUAUAUAAAAGGUGACCAACCCUUGCCCUAAAUCAAAAGCCUCAUCAUCCAGCUCAAAAUCACCAAAGCAUCCUACCAUACCAUCCAAAAGAAUCCUACUUCUUAUCAUUUGAAAAAAUAACCAAAACUCGAAACCUAACUUAGCAAAUAUCCAUAGUUAAAUCAAUCAAAACUUCACGUGUCCAAUAACCUACAUAAGUCUGAUAUCUUCCAGUAGACUUAAAACGAAUGGGACAAGAAUAACAAUUCCAUGUGGCGUCUACACAAGUGAUUAUCAACAAGCAAUUAACUCUAUCGGCAAUAUCAUCACAAAUCUUCUCAAC
rnacentral:lncRNA from 1 species